rnacentral:rRNA from 1 species
GAUGAACGCUGGCGGCGUGCCUAAUACAUGCAAGUCGAACGCACAGCGAAAGGUGCUUGCACCUUUCAAGUGAGUGGCGAACGGGUGAGUAACACGUGGAUAACCUACCUCAAGGUUGGGGAUAACAUUUGGAAACAGAUGCUAAUACCGAAUAAAACUUAGUAUCGCAUGAUACCAGGUUAAAAGGCGCUACGGCGUCACCUAGAGAUGGAUCCGCGGUGCAUUAGUUAGUUGGUGGGUAAAGGCUUACCAAGACAAUGAUGCAUAGCCGAGUUGAGAGACUGAUCGGCCACAUUGGGACUGAGACACGGCCCAAACUCCUACGGGAGCUGCAGUAGGGAAUCUUCCACAAUGGGCGAAAGCCUGAUGGAGCAAGCCGCGUGUGUGAUGAAGGCUUUCGGGUCGUAAAGCAACUGUUGUAUGGGAAGAACAGCUAGAGUAGGAAUGACUUAGUUGA